AUUGAACGCUGGCGGCAGGCCUAACACAUGCAAGUCGAGCGGAGCGGCGGACGGGGGCGUAAUGCCUAGGAAUCUGCCUGGUCGUGGGGGAUAACGUCAGGAAACGGGCGCUAAUACCGCAUCCUAUCAGAUGAGCCUAGGUCGGAUUAGCUAGUUGGUGGGGUAAAGGCCUACCAAGGCGACGAUCCGUAUCUGGUCUGAGAGGAUGAUCAGUCACACUGGAACUGAGACACGGUCCAGACUCCUACGGGAGGUAGCAGUGGGGAAUAUUGGACAAUGGGCGAAAGCCUGAUGCAGCCAUGCCGCGUGUGUGAAGAAGGUCUUCGGAUUGUAAAGCACUUUAAGUUGGGAGGCGUUACCAACAGAAUAAGCACCGGCUAACUUCGUGCCAGCCGCCGCGGUAAUAC
rnacentral:rRNA from 1 species